CCUACGGGAGGCAGCAGUGGGGGAUAUUGCACAAUGGGGGAAACCCUGAUGCAGCGACGCCGCGUGGGUGAAGAAGCGCCUCGGCGCGUAAAGCCCUGUCAGCAGGGAAGAAAAUGACGGUACCUGAAGAAGAAGCCCCGGCAAACUACGUGCCAGCAGCCGCGGUAAUACGUAGGGGGCAAGCGGUACCCGGAUUGACUGGGUGUAAAGGGGGCGCAGACGGGGAUGCAAGCCAGGAGUGAAAGCCCGGGGCCCAACCCCGGGACUGCACUUGAAACCGCGUGGCGAGAGUGCAGGAGGGGCAGGCGGAAUUCCUAGUGGAGCGGUGAAAUGCGUAGAUAUCAGGAGGAACACCGGUGGCGAAGGCGGCCUGCUGGACUGCAACUGACGUUGAGGCCCGAAAGCGUGGGGAGCAAACAGGAUUAGAUACCCGGGUAGUC
rnacentral:rRNA from 1 species